rnacentral:lncRNA from 10 species
AUGCUUAGGAGUUUGCAGUUCACCCGCAAACCUCAGCGAUCCAAGCUCCCCUGGAUGACCAUCACUCACCAAGAAAAGAGCAAUAACAGGACCUGUUUUGCUAAUCCAGGACUGUUCUCCAGCACUAACUCUAAAUAAUCCCUUCUGCUAGAGUCCACUUUCUGGAACCUGUUGCCUCCGUUUUCAACGUUUCCCAAACUUGGUCCGUUGUGUGAGCUGGCUGAUAAAAGUUCCAGAUACUGCUUAAUAUCACCAGAGACAUCUAGCCAUCUUCGCAAGGUCACAUAGGUACAUUCACUCACUUUCAACCAAUAUUUCUUAAGACUGUGUUACGCUGUGCACAGGAGACAAGACACAGAAAUAGAUGACCCAUGAUUUGUCUUCUUUUUAUUUAAAAAAAAAAAAGAAGAAGAAGCUCUGUAUCUGUGAACAAGUCAGAUAGACACAGAUGAUUUCAGCAUAAUUAGGAGGAAUCACUGAGCUCAGCCCAGGGAGCUAGACUAGCUCAGAGGAGUACCUGAUUCACACUAGGAAGGUAUUGGCACAGGCUUCCUGGAAGUGGAGACACUGAAUGGAAUUCUAAAGGAUGUGAUACCUUCUACAUGUUCUUUAAGAUACAGGAUGGUGGGUGUUCUUAAUGGAGAAGUAGGAGAAAAGGGUUUUCCUGGUGUGAGAAACAAUGGAGAUUAGAAAAAGCAUGAUAAUCAGAGGACAAUUCACAGCUGUGGUAUGACUGGAAUAAAACCAUCCAUCCUCCAGAUGCCAGGAGGCAGGCACAACAGUCACUGUCCUGUGGCCUUCAUUCCUUGGGGAAAACACCACAAUGGUCAUCACCUGAACAAAUGGAGUGGGGAGAUGUGGAAGUGAAAGAAAGGGAACGCUGAAGAAGACAGUAUCAGAGACCCAGUAGCAAUGAAACCUCAAUUGGCACAGAGGAUUUGGG